AGUGAACGCUGGCGGUAGGCCUAACACAUGCAAGUCGAACGGCAGCACAGUAAGAGCUUGCUCUUACGGGUGGCGAGUGGCGGACGGGUGAGGAAUACAUCGGAAUCUACUUUUUCGGGGGGGAUAACGUAGGGAAACUUACGCUAAUACCGCAUACGACCUACGGGUGAAAGCAGGGGAUCUUCGGACCUUGCGCGAUUGAAUGCGCGGAUGUCGGAUUAGUUAGUUGGCGGGGUAAAGGCCCACCAAGGCGACGAUCGGUAGCUGGUCUGAGAGGAUGAUCGGCCACACUGGAACUGAGACACGGUCCAGGCUCCUACGGGAGGCCGCAGUGGGCAAUAUUGGACAAUGGGCGCAAGCCUGAUCCAGCCAUACCGCGUGGGUGAAGAAGGCCUUCGGGUUGUAAAGCCCUUUUGUUGGGAAAGAAAAGCAGCAGGUUAAUACCCCGCUGUUCUGACGGUACCCAAAGAAUAAGCACCGGCUAACUUCGUG
rnacentral:rRNA from 1 species